rnacentral:rRNA from 1 species
GAUGAACGCUAGCUACAGGCUUAACACAUGCAAGUCGANGGGAAACGGCAUUGAGUGCUUGCACUCUUUGGACGUCGACCGGCGCACGGGUGAGUAACGCGUGUCCAACCUUCCCAUUACUGUGGGAUAACCUGCCGAAAGGCAGACUAAUACCGCAUAGUCUUCGAUGACGGCAUCAGAUUUGAAGUAAAGAUUUAUCGGUAAUGGAUGGGGAUGCGUCUGAUUAGCUUGUUGGCGGGGUAACGGCCCACCAAGGCUACGAUCAGUAGGGGUUCUGAGAGGAAGGUCCCCCACAUUGGAACUGAGACACGGUCCAAACUCCUACGGGAGGCAGCAGUGAGGAAUAUUGGUCAAUGGACGGAAGUCUGAACCAGCCAAGUAGCGUGCAGGAUGACGGCCCUAUGGGUUGUAAACUGCUUUUGUAUGGGGAUAAAGUUAGGGACGUGUCCCUAUUUGCAGGUACCAUACGAAUAAGGACCGGCUAAUUCCGUGCCAGCAGCCGCGGUAAUACGGAAGGUCCAGGCGUUAUCCGGAUUUAUUGGGUUUAAAGGGAGCGUAGGCUGGAGAUUAAGUGUGUUGUGAAAUGUAGACGCUCAACGUCUGAAUUGCAGCGCAUACUGGUUUCCUUGAGUACGCACAACGUUGGCGGAAUUCGUCGUGUAGCGGUGAAAUGCUUAGAUAUGACGAAGAACUCCGAUUGCGAAGGCAGCUGACGGGAGCGCAACUGACGCUUAAGCUCGAAGGUGCGGGUAUCAAACAGG